ACGAACGCUGGCGGCGUGCUUCACCCCUGCCAGUCGCACGGAAAGGCCCUGCUUUUGUGGGGUGCUCGAGUGGCGAACGGGUUAGUAACACGUGAGUAACCUUCCCUUGACUUUUGGAUAACUUCAUGAAACUGGGGCUAAUACCGGAUAGGAGCUCCUUCUGCCUUGUGGUGGUUGGAAAGUUUCGGCGGUUGGGGAUUGACUCGCGGCUUAUCUGCUUGUUGGUGGUGUAGUGGCUUACCAAGGCUUUGACGGGUAGCCGGCCUGAGAGGGUGACCGGCCACAUUGGGACUGAGAUACGGCCCAGACUCCUACGGGAGGCAGCAGUGGGGAAUAUUGCACAAUGGGCGGAAGCAUGAUGCAGCAAAGCCGCGUGCGGGAUGACGGCCUUCGGGUUGUAAACCGCUUUAGCAUGUGACGAAGCGUGAGUGACGGUAAUGGGUAAAGAAGCACCGGCUAACUACGUG
rnacentral:rRNA from 1 species